rnacentral:rRNA from 1 species
GAUGAACGCUGGCGGCGUGCCUAAUACAUGCAAGUCGAGCGAACGGACGAGAAGCUUGCUUCUCUGAUGUUAGCGGCGGACGGGUGAGUAACACGUGGAUAACCUACCUAUAAGACUGGGAUAACUUCGGGAAACCGGAGCUAAUACCGGAUAAUAUUUUGAACCGCAUGGUUCAAAAGUGAAAGACGGUCUUUCUGUCACUUAUAGAUGGAUCCGCGCUGCAUUAGCUAGUUGGUAAGGUAGCGGCUUACCAAGGCAACGAUGCAUAGCCGCCCUGAGAGGGUGAUCGGCCACACUGGAACUGAGACACGGUCCAGACUCCUACGGGAGGCAGCAGUAGGGAAUCUUCCGCAAUGGGCGAAAGCCUGACGGAGCAGCGCCGCGUGAGUGAUGAAGGUCUUCGGAUCGUAAAACUCUGUUAUUAGGGAAGAACAUAUGUGUAAGUAACUGUGCACAUCUUGACGGUACCUAAUCAGAAAGCCACGGCUAACUACGUG